rnacentral:rRNA from 1 species
CGACGUAGGGUGCGAGCGUUGUCCGGAAUUAUUGGGCGUAAAGAGCUCGUAGGUGGCGUGUCGCGUCUGCCGUGAAAGCCCACGGCUUAACUGUGGGUCUGCGGUGGAUACGGGCAGGCUGGAGGCUGGUAGGGGCAAGCGGAAUUCCUGGUGUAGCGGUGAAAUGCGCAGAUAUCAGGAGGAACACCGGUGGCGAAGGCGGCUUGCUGGGCCAGUUCUGACGCUGAGGAGCGAAAGCGUGGGGAGCGAACAGG